CAUCUUCGAUCUGCUGGGGGCAGAUAAAGUGGAUGUGGCUGUCAAAUCCGCCUGCCGUCAGGAUACGCCCCUCGCCAGCAAUGGCUUCGGUGCCUGGACCUACGAUAAUAUCGACGCCCGGUUGGGUGUCGGGGUUUCCAGCCUUGCCGAUUUUGUAAAUCCGGCCAUCGCGUAGCCCUACAUCGGCUUUGUAGAUGCCCGUGUAAUCGACGAUCAGCGCGUUGGUGAUGACCGUAUCAACGGCCCCCUCGGCGCGAGUGAUCUGGGAUUGCCCCAUGCCGUCGCGGAUG
rnacentral:sRNA from 1 species